AUUGCAUUAAGGACUUUGGAAUGAUCUCACUAAAGACUAAAGAAUGACCAGUUGGAAAUAGGCAUGUUUGAGAUCACAUUUCAUGUAAAUUUCCAUGCUACUCAUCUAUAUUUGAUCUAUGUCAUUAAGUGUAUUAAUAUGUUGAUCAUCGUGGUUUAAUCACUAAUGUAUUGUGAUGAAAGUUGCGGUGGUUCCAUUAUUAGUAUAUGAGAUGGACAAGAUUGUAUUAGGAGCAGUCUAAUGAUAAAUAGCAUACAUAUGCGCGCCUAAGGAGUUUUGUAAUAUAAUUAUUUAAGGAAUAAUAUGUAGCCAAGUGGGAGAUUGUUAGAAAAACACGAUUUUCCUAAAUUAAUAUUGGCAACAUAUUAAUACAAUUAUAUUAGCUAUUUAAUAUAAUGGGCAAAAAUCAAGUGGUCUAUUUUUUGUAUGCCCAUAGACUACUCAAAUUAAUAUGGACUAAAUGAGUAGAUACCGGCUAAUAUUACUCUAAUUAAGGGAUAAUGGGAACCUUAAUUAAGUAGUAUAUAAAUGUUAUUUUGGUUAUGGUCCCCAAUAUACCAAAUCAUACACUCUUUUCCCUUCUCCCCAUCAAGAAGAGAAAUCACGGUCCCAUUGAGGAAUAAGGAGAUUUGGUUGAGGAAGAUCACAAAAACCACCCUCUUCAUUUGCAUUCAUCGGUACAUAGUCGAUUGUCGCAGUAAUUCCGCAACAGUAGGCAAUCGUUUACAAUGGAUACAGGUAUAUUAUCUAAAUUUGUGAAUCCUAGUAAUUUAGCAUGAUGUUGAUCCUAGGAUUUAAUUUAUAUUUGGAUCUAAUUUGAUUUUCUAACAGGCAUCUCUUGGCACUCUCCGUGCAUGGAGGGCUUGGCUCUCCAUGCUCUCCAUACUCUCCUUGCACGGAGGAGGCUUCUCCGUGCAGGGAGGUUUUUGCCUCCAUGCACGGAGAGCUUUAGUACUGUAUUCUUUUUAUUUUUUCUGUUCAAUGCUGUUUUGAAUCUUUGAGGUUUAACUUUUAAUUGAAGUUAUAUUGAUGAAGUCAGAAGAAUCACAAUCUUAUUCCAGCAUAUGCUCCUCUAAAUGCUGUACUUUCUCUGAUGUCAACUUCUCUAUCUUUUCUUAUUUGUUGCUCUUGGCUUUAUGUCUUAAUUACAUAACCAUUAUCCUGUUGUUUUUCAGGGAAUCAAAUUCUUUGAACCAAAGGUUGUAAAUUGAUUGUCUUGCAAAAAUCUGAGGAGUUAGAUUUUUUUCUUUAUUAAGGAGCUCAAAUCUCCAACUUACCAAACUGGAAGUAUGUCAGUUGCAAUUAACUUUGGUCCUUUGAUUGAUUGGUGAAAGCAGAUUAAAAGUGAUCCGCCUGAAAUGGUGGAGUAAAUUGGGAUGAAAAAUCUUAUAAAUGCCGUAAAGGAAAGUGUUGGACUCCAUAGUGGAAAAUUAAUUUUCGGAUUCGAAGGUAUGCUCUUUUCAAGCAAAGUUGAUAAAUCAUUGUAUAUAUCACCAUUAAUAUAAUAGGUUUAAACGAAACCAAUUCCAUUAAUUUCAAAGUUUGGAACUUCCAAUCCUGAACCAAUUCAUUCCCUCAAUCAAUCAAAUAUUUCCACUCCUCGUAACAUUACAAAUCUUCAUAGAAAUGACACAAAUACAGAAGACCAAAGGUAUUUCAAAAGCAAAUUUUAGCAAAGACAAUACAAAAAUCACAGACAACUAAAUAACACAUUCAAACCCAAAAUUCUCAAAUUUCUGAGUCAACUAACUAAAAUAAUAAUAAUAAUAAUAAUAAUAAUAAUAAUAAUAAUAAUAAUAAUAAUAAUAAUAAUAAUAAUAAUAAUAAUCCAACAGUAUAUAUUUUUUUCAAAAAAAUUUAAUAGAAGCCAAUUCAGAAAAAAUAAAAAAAAGGAAAAAAUAUAAAGCAAAUAACCAAAGAAAGAGAAAAGAAGGGAAAAAAAGGAAACUAACUUACCGCUAGAAAAAAUCAAAUCUAAAAUUACACACCAAAAAAAUCUGACAAACAAAUUUAUUCAUACACAAAUAAUAAAAAUAAAAUAGAAAUAAGAAGUACACAUUAAACUUUAGAGAAGAGAGAAGAGAAGAAGAAAUAAGGUAUGAUUUUUGUGAAAAAGUAAAGAAUUUCGGGUGAGAAAGGAGAAAUAUCAUUGUACCAAUUAGACAAAACAUUGUCGUUUUUGCUCAAAUAUCAGGAAAACAAAUGGAAUGACUACAGCGAGAUAAAAUGGAAUCUAUAAAAUAAAAAAUGGCUAUAGUGAGAUAAAAUGGAACAAUUCAUUGUUCAUUUCUACAGUAACUUCACAUUCUCAUUUUUAUAUAGUAGGGAAAUAAUGCGAUACAACAAAGGAGAUGAAUAUUACAUCUUUUGAGAUUAUUCUUUUCCCUUGAUCUUCUCUUGGGAGGCUUCGGAAGAAAAUUCGACGCAAGACAUGUAGCAUGUUAAAUUUUGGGAUUCUACUUUGAAAGGCCAAUACUAUUGAGAGGAGUAUCCCAAAUCUUUAUAAAUUGAUCUAUAUUAUCAUCAUUUUUCGAUGUGAAAUUUUAUCUCUUAAUAGAACAACAAUGUACUUUGAAUAUGGAUGUGGAAAGGUGUUCGCUAAAAAAUAUGUAUCGCAAGUAUACGGGUCACAUUCAAGUAACAAAGUGAACUUUUUUAAUCCGAGUUAUCGAUUCAUUGAUGAAUUUUACUGUCGAUUACAUAGUUUUAAUUAAUUUAAUUCUAACAAUAAAAACAAACACACAAUAAGAUUUGAUUUCGGAAAAUUAACUAAAACUUUACAAAAUAAGAAAACACAACACCUAAGAAAUUUGGAAGAAAUCAUGGUUGAGAUUCAUAGUUUCGUUUAACCGUAAAUUAAUUAAUUUCUCCACAAACCAAUUAAUAAAUUACUUAUUUACGAUAUUAAAGCCGAAUUUUUCAGUUCAAGUUAAUUAUCUCUCUCGAACGAAGUUAACCCUAAUUAAUUGGUUUAACCUACUAUAUUUCUAUGUCGAUUAAAACCAAACAAGUACAUUAAUUUUUUUGUGAAAAUAGCACAAUGGGUUGUUUAGAGUUAGGGGAAUAUCUUUAUCCCUUACACAAACCUAGGUUUUUACUAUUAGUCUAAAAUGUACAAUCUUCUCUAAAAUGAUGUAUAAGUUACUAAACAUAAUCAUUCAUUAACCACAUAAAUGAAAAUGCAAUAAGAACAAUUGUAAAAACACAUGAAAAUAAGAAAUUUAACAUCAAAGAGCAAAUAUUAAAAUUAAUUAAAGUUAGGUUAAGUUUAACCAUAAAUCCCGAUAUUCUUUUUCCUAUACUGUGAAUUACAAUCUAAGUAUUGUACAAACACAUGUUUGGAAGAUGCUUUCUUUUAUAGCCUUGUUUGAGCCUCAUUAUUUUCGUAAAAAUACAUUUUUAAAUUGUGUAUUGAUGGGAAGCACGCAAUUAAAAAAUAAGGAAAAUUUUUAAAUUUACGUUUAAUAUUAUUUUAUUGAAAAAUGUGUUGUUGAAAUGAUAUCAAAUUAUUGUUUAAAAAAUAUAUAUUUUGUAAAGAAUGUGUGUCAAAUAGGGCCAUAGUUUGUAAGUCUUUGGCUAAGUCAAUGAACAUUUGAUCUUGACUAAAAAGUAACCAUGCCCGCCAUUUUAUUAAAGAAUGUGUAUCAAAUAGGGCAUAGUUUGUAAGUCUUGGCUAAGCCAAUGAACACCUGAUCUUGACUAAAAAGUAACAGGCCCGCCAUUUAUUCUGCUUUUUAAAAGGCAACUUUAAGACCAAGCAAUUUAUCAGUCAAGUUCAAUCUCCAUGAUGUGCAUAAAUAUGUUCUCCUUUUCGAUAAAACGAACUUGACAGCUGUAAAAAGACUAGAUUUUAUCUAGCCCCUGUUUGAUGCCCAUUACCUGAAAAUGAAAAUGGGGGGAAUAGUAUUUUUUAGAAAAAUGAGUGGUUGAAAAAGAAGGAAAAAUUUUCGAUUUACGUGUAAUAUUAUUUUAUAGAAGAUUGUGUGGUUAAAAAUAGGAGAGAGAAAAAUAAAAUGUAAUGUAAUUUAAUUUAAUGGGGAUCAAAUAGAGGUUAUACUAAUGUUGAGUCCUACGUAUUUAACACGAGUUCAAGAGGACAACGUGCCUCAAAGUAAAAGCCCAACAUUUAGUCUUAACAAAUAUAUUCUCAACACCAUAAUAUUUGAAUAGUAUAGUUUUUAAAUUUCUCUUUCUCGGGAAAAACAUGCAUGGUACAAAGUGGAAUUAAUUCUUUAUUUAAUUUCUUUUUGCAACUUUUCUUCAUGAAUUGUAUGUUAGUGGAAGCUAGAUAAGGUCUCCAAAUAGUACCCUUGUAGUGUGGAAGGUUGAAUAUUGUCUCAGAAAACGUGGAGACAAAUCCUCAAUCAAAAGUUUGAGUUCAACUCUUUUCAUAGUUUUUUAACCCUAAAACAUUUGUCACCUCCUUAAUCAAAAGUUUGAGUUCAAGUCUUUUUAUAAUGUUUUAACCCUAAUCAAAAGUUUGAGUUCAAAAGCCAUUGAUAAUUCUUUUGCUACAACUCUGAUUGAAGAUUAGAAAAAUAACUUUGAUGAACUUGCUUAUACUUCUAUUAUUUUGUGCUUAUCUGAUACGAUUUUGCAAAAAGUUGGCAAACAUGACAUUGUCGAAAAACUUUGGAAAGAGCUUGAGGAACUUUACUUGAUUCAAUCCAUGCGAACAAACUUUUCUUACUUGAAUAUUUUUCAAUUUCAAAUUUGAUCCCUCAAAAGAUUUAGAUGACAAUCUUGACGUUUUAAAUAAAUUGCUUUAAGAUAUUACAAAUUGUAAUAAAAAGGUUUCUGAUGAAUAUAAAGCUAUUAUUCUUUUGAAUGUAAUUACUGAUAAUUAUAAGGAUGUCAAGAAUGUGAUCAAAUAUGGAAGGAAGACCCCUUACAUCUGAUAUAGUCAUCGAUUCAGUAAAACUAAAGAGAGGAAAAUGAAAGUUGAAAGAACUGAGAGAAAAAUAGGAGAUAUUCAACAAAUAAGGAGUAGGGUUCAGUUUGGGGAUGGAAAGGGGCAAAAGAGUGAUGGCAAGAAAUGUGAAGAGAUGGAUCUAAGUCAAAGGGAGAGGCUAAGGGAAUAAAAUGUUACGAUCAUGAGAAAUUAGGACACUUUAUAAAUGACUAUCAAAGAGAGAGAGAGAGAGGGGAAAAAAAACAUUGUUGUCUAGAGAGAUGAACCUGGUGAGGUUUAUGUGCUCUUAGAUACCGAACAAAUUGAAAUAAGCCGGUCUAUGAAAUUCCAUAUGCAUGAAUGGAUUCUUGACUCCUAUAUUUCUUUUCAUGGUACAUCAAAUAAAUUGUGGUUUGAUCAUUUACAUAAAUCUGAUCAUGGACAUACAAUUGCAUGGGGUGGAGUUCAUAUAAGAUCACUGGCAUGGAUAGUGUAAUUGCCAGAUUUGACAGUGGUUUUGUGCACAUAUUUGAUAGCGGUUUUGUGCAAACACUAACAUAAGUUAAGUAUAUUCCACAUAUGGGUAGGAUUUUAAUUUCUGUGGGAGAGUUGGAGCGUACAAGUUUCACUGGUGCUCUCGAUAAUAGAGUGCUAAAAAUGUUUAAGGGAGCAUUUAGAGCCUUUAAGGCUACUAGGAACAAUGGCAUUUACAUCACACAUGCUGAAGUGAUGGGUGGUUUAAAUUCCACUAUCACUGACACUGAUUCAGAAGUGGCACAAUAGGUUAGUUCACGUUAAUGUUAAAGGACUUAAGUUCCUUAGACAUGCCAUUUUGGGAACAUCGAAGGAUGUCAUUUGUAAGCAUAUACAAGACAUCUAGACUAUUAGAAUACAUUCAUACUGAUUUGUGAGGUCUAGGGAGCAAUCCCACUUUUGUUGAUAACAAAUAUUUUCUAUUUAUUAUUGAUGAUUUUCUCCAGAUGUGUGUGCGUUUAUUUGCUAAAAGAUAAAUAUGAAACUUUCAUUAACUUUAAAAAUUGAAAAGUUAAGAUGGAGAAUCAGAUAGGUUAGAACGUGAAAUAUUUGAGCACCGAUAAUGGUCUCAAGUUUUGCAAUGCUAAAUUUGAUAAUUUGUAUAAUAAAUCAGGCAUCACUUGACAGAGGACUGUACCUCACACUCCCUAGUAAAAUAGUGUUGCUAAAAUGAUGAAUUGUACUUUGCUUGAUAAAAUUAGAUGUGUGAUGUUAAGUUCUAGUGCGCCUAACUCUUUUUGGGGUGAAGCUGUUAUGACUGCAUGUUAUCUGACUAAUAAGAUUCAUCCCGCAGCUUUAAAUGGUGAUACUCCAUACGAGAUUUGGUAUACGGUAAAUGUGUUGAUUAUUCUAUACUUAAGAUCUUUGGUUGUGCUAUUUUCUCUCAUCAAAGUGAGGAAAAACUACAACCUACAAGUAAGAAGUAUGUCUUCCUAGGCUACCCUGGGGAGUUAAGGGAUAUAUGUUAUUAGAUAGAAGCUUGAAAUGAGUGAGAAUAAUCAUAAGUCGCAAUGUAACUUUUAAUGAGUUUGGGAUGCCUUGUAAAGAAACUGAGGAAUAGUAAAAAACUAUUAGAGAAGAAUUUCCUAUUGAGGUAGAGCACGUGAUUGUUUACAUUUCCAUCAUCUUGAGCGAGGUGGAGAGUAAUACACAAAAUUUAUAGAACAUAGAGUUAGAAGAUGAUGAUGAAGUUGUUAAGGACAACCUUAUCGACUAAAACCCUCUAACUAAUUAUCGGUUAGCUAAAGAUAGAGAGAGGAGACUAUAUAGAGAACCUCAAUGGAUGUCUGACUAUAUCGUAGCCUAUACAAUUAUCAUGAACCAAUAGAUAAGGAGCCUUAUACCAAUGAGAAGUGGCUAGGUGCCAUGAAAGAAGAGAUAAGCUCUCUUACUAAGAAUCAAACUUGGGAUUUAGUUCGUAGACCUAAGGAUAAAUUUGUAGACUGCAAAUGGGUUUAUAAGAUUAAGGAGAGAACUACUAAGAUUAAGCCCAUGAGAUACAAGGCUAGAUUAGUAGUCAAGGGGUACACGCAGAAGAAAGGGAUAGAUUGUUAUAAGAUCCUUUUGCAAUUGUUAAGUAUACCACUAUCAGGAUUAUACUUGCUUUUGUUGCUUAUUAUGACUGAGAACUUGAACAACUGGAUGUCAAAAUUAUUUUUUUACAUGGUGAUCUUGCUAAAAAGAUUUUUAUGAAUUAGCCCAAAGGUUUUGAAAGUAAGUCUAAACCUGAGAAUGUGUGUUUUUUAAAGAAAUUCUUUACAGGCUAAAAUUGUCUUUGCGUCACUGGUAUAAAAAGUUUGAUUCUUAUAUAUUGUCUAUUGGUUUUAAGAGGAGUGAGUUUGACCAUUACUUGUAUUACCUGUACCACAACAUUAAUGAAGAGUGUGUAUUAGUUACUUUAUAUGGACAUGUUGUCAAUUGGACCUAACAUGAAGGUGGCAAACAAGAUUAAAAUGGACUUAGGAAAAGAAUUUGAUGUGAAAAGACCUAGGACAUGCUAGGAGGAUCCUAGAUAUAGAGAUUAAUAGGGAUAAGUCUAAUUCUUGCCUAUAUGUGAAUCAAACUCCUUACAUGCUUAAAGUUCUGAAGAAAUUUGGCAUGCUUGAUUACAAACUUGCUUCUGUACCUCUUGGAAACCAUUUUAUUUUAUCAAAAGAUCAAUAAUAUGCUGAUGAUAAAGAAAGAGAAUUUAAUUCCUUAUACAAUUAUCAUUAGUUCUGUCAUGUACUUUAUUGUUCGCACUAGACCAGAAUUGGCUUUCACUAUAAGUGGGUUAAGUAAGUAUAUGUCUAAUCCUAGUCCCAAAUAUCGAAAAGCAUUAGAGUGGUUACUUAGAUACAUGAAGGGUACCUUAAUUGAGGGUUAGUUUAUAAAUCUGCGAAUGAGGGUAUGAAACUCAAAGGUUUCACAGAUACUCACUAUAGUAAUGAUAGAGAUAAUAAGAAACCUACUUUCUCUUAUAUGUUUACUUUGUAUAACUCUUGUGUGGUUGGAAGUCUCAACUUCAACAUAUAGUUGUUUUAUCUACCAUUGAAUCUGAGUAUAUUGUUGCUAUAGAAGCUUUAAAGAAGUGUUGUGAUUUAGAGGCUUACUUAAUGAACUAGGUAUUUUAAGUACAAUGUGAUAGCAUACUUCGAUAGUUAUUUGCUAUUCAUCUGUGUAAGAAUCAUAUGUUUCAUUAAUGCACUAACAUAUUGAUAUUAGGCUACAUUUUAUUAGAGAUGUAGUUUCUUAAAAUUUAAUAAAACUUGAGAAAGUAUAUUCAAAUUAUAACCGUACAGAUAUGAGCACUAAGGUACUUACCGUUCGUAAAGUUUAGAAGUUCACAUGCACUUUCUAAACAUUUUUAAAAGUAUGUGAUGUUUCAAUUUUAUUUGAAAUCACGUUAUGCGACUACUAAACUGGUUUUUUUCUCUUUUGCAGGUGUAUUUGGCAUCAAGGUGAAGGUUUGAUAGGUAUUUAGAUACAAAAUAAAUUUGGGGGAUGACCAAUCUGUCGGAUCGGAUUAAAAUCAUAUAGUUAGUUUGGAACCUAUUAUUGAGAUUAUUUAAAUGGUCAGCCCAAUAACACACAAAUGGUAACCGAAAAAGAAGUUAGACUGAGUAUUGCAUUUAGGGUCCUACCCAUAUGCUUGACCUAAAGUGUAUUGUAUAUAUUUGUGCCCUUUGAGGUAUUAUAAUACAUAUACACGAUUUUAACACUUUAGCCCCCUUUUUAGUGAGACCUUUCGGCUUCUUCUUCUAUGUGACUUUGCUACUUCCUUCGUGCCACCUUCUGUGGCUUACCCAAAUUGCACCUUGGCUAGCGACUUAGCUACCCCGUUCGCCUUCCUAUUGCUUCGAUUUUUUCCCUUCUUCACUGCCAUCUUGCUACCUCUAUGUGUGGCUAUCUCUGCGUGAUUCUCUAAGUGGUUUCCUUUAUGGUGUUGGGUGUGAAUCUUGGUUCCUUCUAUUGGAGCUGCUUUCUGUAUUAUUGGGUUAUUGAUCUGAGCACUGUUCAAUCCAUUUUUGGUGCCAAUGUUUGUGAUAAUUGAAAGGGAAGUGUUUAUCUUUAAUUCACAAUAUCAAUUCCGUUAUUAUUAUUGAUUUGCAACUUUUUUUGUGUUUGUUUGAUCAAUAAAAAGGUCAUAUUGAGCUACCGAAAAUGCGAGUGAUGCAAAAGCUGUUAAGCUAAGGCCUUUCUGUCCACCCUUCUCUAACAUUUACUUUUUCUAUAGCAAGCCCAAUAGUUAAAUUGCUAAAAUGCCUCCAUUGCCACUCCCUGCCAUCCUCAUUCCCUACAAAACUCCAAAAAGCUCAUCUCCUCUGCCUAUCUACCCAGCCUAAACUCUCAAGUUGAACAAAAUAAUCAUCUACUCGGUACUUGAAAGAAGGAAAAAUUUCUUGCAAGGUUUAAUAAAGCUAGAAAAACUUGCAACUGCUAUGGACGUUGUUCAUCAAUUACGAAGAAUAAGCAUUUGAAAAAUUUUCACAAGAGAACAAAGUCAUCGAAAUCAAGUCUAAAGUAAAAACUAAUUUUUUUUUCUCUCAUUUUAUCCAAUUCUUGAAAAUCCGUUCAAAUUAAAGCUAUCGACUCCUUGCUGAAAGUGUUAAACCUAAAUUGUGCAUGAUCAAAGAGUAUAACUGUGAAGAAAAUUGUUUCUUGGAAGUGAAUGGAAUUUAAAUAGUGCUACCCACUCAUAAUUUCAAAACUACUCAUAGACUAUUGCUAGCUAAGAUACUUUCAAGAAAAUACAAUUGAUCGGAUGAUAAAUACAUGCUAAUCUAGAUAGUUUAAUGCAACCUCAAUUUACAUUGUUAAAUUUCUAGUGUAUUGGCAAUUUUUUAGACAAAAGGAUUAAUGUAAAAGAGUUGUAAAAGUCAAAAAAUCUUUUGGAGUUAGUAGCAUAGUCCUUGAAGGAGUUCAAGAGGUUCAAGAAGAUCACAUAUGAUCAUUGGAAUGCAAUUAGAAGUUUAAAGGAUAUCAAAGAGCCGCACAAGUUAUGUUCCAAAUUCUCAAUUGUAACUUGCAAUGCAUUUUUCGAAUAGAACACAUUGGAAUUUAGACAAGGCUAUUUCUAGAAGAUUUGUAUCCCUUUGAGUGAGCUUUCCAACACAUUUUAAAUCACCUCAAUCGAAUAUCGAAAGAUAAAGUUAUGAUGAAAAUACUGACAAUUGUUCAGCUAUCGCUCACCUAUUGCUAACUACUCCCUCGAGCGACAUUUGUAUUUGGCCAAACCCUAGGUCGCUAUUUGAAGAGUUUUACACAGUCCAUGAUACCUAUUUACCCCCAUCUAUAAAUACCAUAGUCAUGGACAAAAAUUCUAGGGUUGCUGAUUGUGCUUUCACAUCUAUAACACUUUCAUAUCAUUGUUCAAGAGAUUCAAUGUGCAAUUCAUUAGUAAAUCCAUCAUAUUCAAUCCUGUGAUCCGGUAACCAAGUUUUAAAAAACAUCACAUCUUUGUAAUCCAAAAUACCUAGCCUUCUUAAUUCAUUGAAAAAGGGCUUUCUCAUUGGAGGAUUGAGAGAUGUGGAUUAAAGCCCAGUUACAAGCACAAGACCAUGAGGUUCAUGGUGUUUAAAUUGGAGUGACAUUUAGCAUAAGACCAGGAAGCUGUAGGAGACAGCAGACUAGGCUUCAGAAGGUAGAUCAGGAAGUCUAGCAAGAGGUUAGAGACAUCUACGAUAACAAGAGGCUACAGGAAGUAGAUGAGGAGGUCUAGCAGACUACAAGUAUCUAUAACAAUGAUCGUGAGACUGCGACAGUGGGUCUUAGUGGAUAUAAGAGUUGGAAUUUCUGUGUAUUUCCUGAACAGUCUAUAGCGGAACUAAUUAAUUUGGUCCCGGAGUUUUUCCCACAUUGGAUUUCUCCGUCAUCAAAUUUUAUGUUAUUUACUUUCCAACAAUUUAUUACAAACUGUGGUAUUCAAACAUAGGGUUAAUUGAAUUGUAUGCUUAACAAUCUAAUAACUAAUUAAACGUGAUGUGUUUGCUUUAAUUAGUCAAUUCCGCACGUAAGGCCGAACUAAUUGGUAAUUUAUAAUGUAAACUUGGUAACACUAAAAUUUGAAUUGGUGAUCAUAGCGUCCUGCGAACUUUCAAGCAUUAUCACAGCAUUCUAGGCGAGACUUUUCAAGUGGUAUAAGGCUGAACUAGAUAGGUGCAACUGGAAUGGUAAAGCCCUUCUUGUCCUCUUUAUGGCUAUUUCUCUUGAGAAAUUUAGGAGAGUGCCCAUGUGUGAGGUAGCGAAAGAAGCUUGGGAUAUUUUAGAAACCACACAUGAGGGAACAUAGGUGGUUAAGAACUCGAAACUACAGAUACUGGCUACUAGGUUUGAAGAUAUCAAGAUCAGAGAGGAUGAGACCUUUACUGUAUUCUAUGUGAGCCUAAAUGACUAAAUUCAUCUUUCAACCUAGGUAAAAAAAUUCCCAAGCCUAAGAUAGUGAGAAAAAUCCUUAGAUCCUUACUCGAGCAUUUUAGGCCUAAAGUCAUGGAAAUUGAGGAAAGUAAGGACAUAGACACUAUCAAACUAAAAAAGCUAGUUGGAUCCAUCCAGACCUAUGAGCAAACCGUAGACAACCCAUCUAAGGAAAAGUCCUUGGCCUUUAAAUCUGCUAGGAAUAAUCUAACCGAAUCUUUUGACUUAUAUUCACCUAGUGAUUAGGAGAUUGCCUACCUAGCUAAAGAGACCAAAAGGUGGCGCUAGUAAAUCUAGGAGAAGAUCCAAAUAUGUGAGGUGCCAUAACCAUAAAGGUGUAUGUCAUGUUAAGAGAGAGUGCCCUAGUGCUAGAAGAGUCAAAGAGAAGGCAAUGAAUACUACUCUCACUGAUGGCGUGUCUAACUCUGACAAUUAGAGUGAGAAAUCCACUCGUGAGAAAAGUGGAAAUUAUGUUACCAUCGUUGCUAGGAUUAAAAGUGGAUCCGAAUAGGGGAGUGAAAGAGAUGAGGACAUAGAUAAUGGUGAGGAUUUUGGUGAUGACUCUGUGAGUGAGGAAGAUAUUGAAGAGACCUAUGAGAAAAUGUAUCAGGAGAGCCUAGAAAUUCUCAAUAAAAACAAAGCCUUAAAUAUGACUGUUCAGGAGCUACAAUUGGAGUAAGUUAAGUUUGAAGUGUAUGUUAAGGAAUCUUCCACUAUCCUGAGAUAGCUUAAGUCAAUAAAUGAUGCUAUAGAGUCUCAGGUUAAGAAUCUCACCAAUGAGCUUGAAAAGUCCUCUAGAAAAGUCAGCGAGUUGACCGUCAUAAAUGAGACUAUAAACAUUCAGAUUGUGGACCUUGUGAGCGAAUUAGAGAAUUCUAAGUCUCAACUUCUUGCCUUCACCAAUGGGUCGUCUAAGUUAGAUAACAUGCUAGGUAUAGGCAAGUCGGCUGGAAGCAGAGGAGGUCUAGGAUAUAACAAAAAAUAUCAUAAUGUUGCUAGCAUGUCUAAGACAUUUGUCCCAACCAAAGACUAGCCUAAACAUGUGCCUAACCCCAAACCUAAGGAAAAGGAAUUUGUAGGAGAGAGGUCUACCAGACAGCAUAGGACCCGUUUAUUUCAGCAUACAUAUAAUACAAGUCCUAAGUAUAUCCCUAUAUGCUAUCAUUGUGGUGAAUUAGGUCAUAUCCUCCCUAGAUGUGAUCAGUAUCUGAACAAAAGGAAAAACAUGAACUUGAAAAUAACAAGAAUUAGGUGUCUAUUGGUCACAUUGGAUUCUUUACUGAUCAAGUGAAUCAUUUGACCAAAUUGGUGACAUAAUUGUCUGGAAAGUGUUCUCUCAUCAGGCAGGUUUGGAUGAAGAAGAGUGAACUACCAAAUCUAAUAGUAGAUCACGGUGCUCUUAAGGGAACAAGGCACUCAUAUACCUAGAUGAUUAGGUAUUUUUAUGCAUGCUUGUUCUUAACUGUCAUAUUAUAUAUGCAUGCAUCAUUUGUAUGUUUUUAUUUCUCUUUUGCUUUAUUUUUGGUUUCAUGCAUGUACAUCUACAUUGGUUUGCUUUGGAGUAUGCAUAUUUUAUGUUUAUUUUGUAUGCUUGACUUUAUUUUUUCUCUUUUGUGUGUGGGCAUUCAUUCUUGGAAAAAUGAAAAAUAGAAAAAAAGAAUUGAAAAUUUGAAAAACACAAAAAUAGUUGGUUAUGGAACACUUCUACAGUAUGACAUGUUUCUGGAAUUUGCAUGUUGUGAUCAUGUAUGAGCUGAAUUGAUAAGUUAUAGAGUAAUUUUCAUUACUUGUUUAGAUUACUUGAUAUAGGUUUCUUUAUGUAUCAUCUGCAUUGCACAUACUAUGAAUUUGUUAGUCGGACGCUACCGCAUAUGUGAAACUUAGGUUGGCUGUCACAUGUCAAUAGGGUGACUUCAAACAUGAAUUGACCUAAUUCAGUAGACCUAAGCCCAAAAAUAUUCUCCCAUGUAAAAGCUCAUUAUCUUAAUUCUCUUCUUCGGGGCCUAUUUGACUCUAACAAUUAAGCGUGCAGAAUCUCUUAAAACUUGGUGCCUAUAAUCAACUGACUUGGAUUAAUCAGCCUAAAGCUUGUUAUAGGGGUCAUCUCAGUCGUCUAAUGGAGAAGAACCUACACUUAAGACGAAGAAUAAAUGAGCUUAAAAAUGUGAAAAAUAUGAAGAGCUGAAGAAAUAUGGAAAAUUGAAAAAUAUAAAUACUCAAAGUAAGAGGGAGAAAAAUAAAAAAUAAUAAGUAUAGGUCAUACUGUACUUUCAUGGUUUGACCUUAAUUAGUAGGGGAAUAUACUUAUUGGGCAGUAAUUGGCAUGUCCUUUCUUACAAAAUUAAGAUUUGGAGUCCUGCUUGCAUUGGAUUAGUGACAUUUUACAAACAUGAGUCAUUUGCACUAUUUACUCCAUUCUGAUAUGAACUGAGUAUGUGAGAAGGUUUAUAGUCUAUUGAUUUUUCUUGUCCUUGCUAUCACUACAUUUUAAAGUUAUUAUAUGUUAUUGCUCUGUUUGAUUUUGAUAGUAUUCCAUUAAGCAUUUGUGACAAAAAGGAGGAUAGAAAUAUAAAUUGAGGGGGAGCAUAGAACGAUUUACAUACAGUGUUUUCACUAUUUGAUUGAUUAACAUUUUGUAUUGCUAUAUCUAGGGGUCGUUGGGAAGAGACAUAGAUACAUUUUGAUACUGCAUAAAAAUCUUGAGAAUUUGCAGUAAGGGGAAGCAUUUGCAUUGCAUUGCAUUCCAUAUCAUAAUGCACAACUGAUUGAGUUUUGAUGUUUUGUGAUGUUAAUUUUUUGGUUGGUGUUUUGAUUGACACUAUUGUCACGUCUCAAACUAGCACGCUUAUUUAUGAUUAUAAACUUCAAUUGUUACAUUUUAUCACAUGCUUUUAAACUGGGUAUUUAAGUUUUUGAUUUCAGGAACAGGUUUAACAAAGAAUGCAAGAAACGAAAUUUGGAUAGAUUAGAUUUUUGCUUUUACUAUCUUGACUUUAUUGUAUAGUUUUUUCAUAGAAUGCCAAAAGAGGAGAUUGUUAGGUUUAUAGUGUAUUGGCAAUUUUUAGACAAAUAGAUUAAUAUAAAAGAGUUGGUCGUAUAGUCCUUGAAGGAGUUCAAGAUGUCCAAGAAGAUCACAUAUGAUCUAAAAGAUAUCAAAGAGCAGCACAAGUUAUGUUCCAACUCAAUCAUAACUUGCAACGCAUUUUUCGCAUAGAAAACAUUGGAAUUUAGACAACUAGAAUAUUUGUAGCCCUUUGAGUGAGCUUUUCAACGCAUUUUGAAUCACCUCCAUCAGAUGUUGAAAGAUAAAGUUAUAAUGAAAAUACUAACGUCUGCUUAGCUAUCGCUCACCUAUGGCUAGCUACUCGCUUGAGCGACAUUUGUAUCCGACCAAACCCUAGGUUGCAAUUUGAAGAGUUUUACAUGUCUCAUGAUACCUACUUACCCCCAUUUAUGAAUAACAGAGUCAUGGGCGAAAAUUCUAAAGUUGCUCAUUGUGCUUUUGUAACACUCCGAAUUUUAAAUUUUUCCACGUGGGUUGGUAAUUUAACAAAUAAAAUAAUCCAUGUCCAACACUGUCGUCACACUAAAGUCGAAAAGUUGAAGUGAUAAACACGUCCCACUUAUUUGCAUAAAUGGUUUAUUCCGCAAGCGUAUAUUUUUAAUUUAUCGUAACUUAUUUGGAUCGAAUAUUUAAGUAUUUUAAAAAGUUAUUAAAAAUAUAUCGAUAUUAUACUCAUUUUAUAGCUCUUGUCAAAUAGUAUAAUUUGGAAUUAAGAAAAAGUAAUUUUGAGCUAGUAUGUCCGAGUUAUUCUAAUAAAAAGAAAACUGUUAGUAUUUAAUAUUUUAUUAAUAUAGAUAAUAAUAAAAUAAUAAAAACAAAACUUUCAUUUCCAAUUUAAUUCAUACGGUUACUUGGGGAAAUGAAACGAAAAUUGAAAAUUAAUAAUUUAAAAUUUACUAAGCUCAUUAGUGAUAGAGUAAUUAACCCACAUGAAACCUAAUUAACAUCAAAUUACGUUAGAAUCUCUAUAGUCACAUGUUCUGCGUAUAAAAGUGGAUAUGAGAGCACUGAAGUGACAAAUUCUCCUUUACUCAUACAGAUUAUUAGUAUUUCACACGUCUACACACACUCAUACUUUUGAGAAGGAAUAUCAUUUUAUUUCAUAAAUCAUUUUCAGAAAUUCUUUGGUGUCAAUUGAGGUAAGAAUACAUGGUGCAAGUGAUAAAUUCUUAUUCCUUGAUAUAUAUGUAAAUUUUGGCAUGAGAUACUUUAAGGCCUUCGGGUCGAAUGCUAUGUUAAAUCCUUCGGGAUAGACCAUUAGGUCAAAGAGAAGAAGUUAAAUCCUUCGGGAUAGACCAUCAGGUUUCUAGAAAAGACAAUAGUCAAUUUAUAUAAAGAAUAUCUUUUUGUGUUAAUAUUUAUGCACGAUAUUUAUUAUGUUGUUUAAUAAUUUGAAAUCAAAUAUUUUCGAUAUAUUUCCGCCUAAAUUAGAUAGAGAAAAGUUUUGGUAGCACCUUGAGCUCAUUUUUAUUUAAAAAAUAAUAAUAAUAAUGAAAAAGAGUUCGAGGCGUUACAGAAUGGUAUCAGAGCACGAGUUUAGUCGAUUCUGUAGACUCGUCGUUUUUUUUUUGAAAAAAAAGUAUAUAUAUUUCUUCAUCAUAUUCAAAUGUGAUUUACGUGUAUAAAUUAUUUUUCUUAGAAUGAUAAUUUAUUUCGAAGACUUAGUGGUCUACAUGAAAUAUAAAUAUAUAAUUUUUGUUUUGUCUAUUAAAUAUUUAUGAUUGUGAAAUUAAUAGAAUUUAUUUUGAAUAAACUGUUUGAAUGUUUAGUUUCUUUAUAAUGAUUAAAUUAAAAUUUAAAAGCUUAAUUGCAUGGAAGUGUGAUAUAUGUAUUAAAUGGGUAUAUGCACUAGAAACCAAGUGUGUGUACUAAAAAAAAAAAAAAAAAGAAGGGUAAUUUCUAAAGUAAAUGAAAUGAUUUUACUCUACUUAUUUCAAUAUAACUAAUCAACUUGUUAAGAAAGCAGUUUCAACUUAUGUUGAGUACAUGCCUACUUGUUUAUAUUACUUGUAUGAAAAUUUUCACUAAACAAGUAUUUAAAAUAAGACCCAUGACAUUAGCACUCGUCAAUCUACUACCGUCCGACAGACUCAAGGUAUGAAGAAAAUAUUAAGUUUCAUUUUAUUUUCAAGCAUGACUUUAUGUAUCAUUUAAGCUUGAAUUCUAUGAAAUGAUUAUAAAUGAACGUCUAAAAAGAAAUAUGUUAUGCAUGCUAUUAUACAUGAAGGUAUAUUGAUAAGAAAAAAAAAAUUCCUAUUAAAAUCACAAGAGCAUAACAUGUACUUUGAUAUUACUACAAAAAUAAAUAUAAUUGGAACCGUGUGUUACAUACAAUGGUUAGAAUUUAUCAGACCACUAGAAAGGCCACGACUUAUAGAGCAGCGUUGAACCGUAGGUCCAUCAUUCAGUCUUAUGAGAAUUUCGUGACUGACCCGACUCGUCCACUUGUUGAACACAUGCAAGACAUCUAUGAAAAAUGUAUGGCAGCUGUGGAGGCAGGACUAGAGAUCACUCAUAUUGAGGCUGUGAAUAAUCUCGUACAUUCACUUCCACCUCAAUGGGGAGACAUGGGAGUUAUGGUUAGGAAUGAGAUGUUAGAAGGUAACCCCCCAGAGCAUCCAAACACGAUUGAGUUUGAUGUAUAUUGUCAGACCCUUCUAGAUAGGUGGAGUGAAAGUUUAGAACGCCAACUGGAGGUAGGGAACGAGCUCAAUGAUGAGCCAGAACCUCAAAUUGAGUCGGACCCAGAGGAAGAUCCCGAAUGGGAACAACAGGAUGACUUUAGGCUAGAGUUAGAGAACGAUCAUGAGCAUGAACCUGAGCCACUGGUUGAGAUAGACGUAGAGUCCGGGCCUGAAGCAGAAGACUCCUCUGAAGAUGAAGCUCCGUUAAAGAAGAUUUGCAGAAGUUAUAGGGUUUAGAAAUUUAGAUUCCAUUUCCUUGGUACUGUGAUAUCUUUUCCUUUAUGUUAUUGGAAAUAAAAAUAAUAAUAAUAAUAAUUUCCUUUGAGCUACUGUGUUGUCAACGUUCCUAAGACAAAAUUUAUUUUGUUAAUUUAAAGGAAAUGGCAGGACAACAAGAUCAAGCAACUAUGUUUAGGGAUUUGAUGAGGGCAGUACAUGACCUUGGUAGGGAUCAAGCACCCGCACCAGCUCCUCAGAAUGGACCGGCAACACAAGUUCAAUUGUGGAGCAGUUUCGCCGUUUUAAACUUCCUUCUUUUGAUGGCAAAGCAGACCCUUUGGCAGCCGAGGAGUGGUUAAGAGGGCUAGAAUGAAUCUACAAACACAUGGCAUGCACUGAUGCACAAAAGGUAUCAUGUGCCGAGUUUAUGCUAGUUGGAGCAGCAGGCCACUGGUGGGAGUCUGCUUCGCGCACUAGAACGGAAGCGCAACAAUGUGCUAUGACUUGGGCACAGUUCAAGGAAGAGGUAAUGACAAAAUACUUUCCUCAAUCACUGAGGGAUCGGAGAGAGGCAGAGUUCCUACAGCUGAAACAAGGAAAUAUGUCGCUUGAUGAGUAUGAAAGGAAGUUUGAACAACUUUCUAGGUAUGCUACACAUCUUGUCGAUACCGAGCCAAAGAAGGCUAGAAGGUUCGAAUUAGGCCUAAGUCCAGAGAUUGGAGGAAUCAUGGAAUCUCACCAUACGACCACAUAUAGUGAAGUACUUCAACGAGCGCAGUCAAUUUCUGAUCGUCUAGAAAUGGAUCGGAUGACUGAGAAGAAUAAUGAGUCAUAUGGGAAACGAAAGUGGAAUGGAUUGAAUAAAGGGAAGGGAUUUGGACAAUUUAAGAAUCCCAAUAUAGGAUCAGGAUCAGGGUCAAGUAAACCAAAUAAAGUUACUCCACGAUGCCCAAAGUGCAAUAAGGCCCAUGGAGGGGAGUGCUGGUUUGGGAAAAAUGUAUGCUAUCGAUGUGGCCAAGAAGGUCAUUUUGCUUCGGAUUGCAAGGCAUACCCACCUAAGAAGGAUAAUGAACAGGGAAGGAAAGUGAAAGCCAAAGUCUUUGCUUUAACCCGGGAAGAGGCAACAGAGGAUCCAAAUGUAAUGGCAGGUAUUUUAUCAAUAUCUGAACUACCUGCAUAUGUUCUUAUAGACUCCGGAGCUACUCAUUCAUUUAUCUCCACUGCAUUUAUUGCUAAAUCACGUACUGCAUGUGAAAAAUCUGAUAGUGUUCUAGAAAUUUCUAUUCCAUCUGGUAGAAUUUUGAAUACCAAUCAGAUCGCUAGGGCAGUAAAAUUAGUAAUGGAAGGAAAAGAAUUUGUAGCUGAUCUACACCUCCUAGACAUGAAAGACUUUGACGUUAUUCUAGGAAUGGACUGGUUGGGAAGCAAUCACGCAACCAUUCGAUGUUUUGAAAAGGAAGUAGUUUUUCAGAGGCCUGGAGAGGAUGAAUUUCGAUUUUUCGCGGUACAAGUUAAGUCUUUACCUCGAAUCGUGUCGACCAUGAAAGCAGAAAAGAUGUUAAAGAAAAGAUCCUGUCAAGGAUUUCUAGUGAGUAUACAUGGAACUCAACAAUCGGAGCUUACGAUUUGUAAUGUGCCGAUUGUACGAGAUUUCAUUGAUGUAUUUCUUGAUGACUUACCUGGCGCGCCACCAGAUAGGCAAUUGGAGUUUACAAUUGACCUCGUACCUGGUGCAACUCCAGUGUCUAGAGCUCCAUAUUGGAUGGCGCCAAAGGAACUACAAGAAUUAAAGAUACAGUUGCAGGAGUUGUUGGAUAAAGGUUUCAUCCAACCUAGUACAUCUCCUUGGGGGGCACCGGUUUUGUUUGUGAAGAAGAAGGAUGGGUCAAUGAGAUUAUGUAUUGAUUAUAGGGAACUUAACCGAUUGACAAUCAAGAACAAAUAUCCUCUUCCUUGGAUCGAAGAUCUCUUUAAUCAGUUGAAGGGUGCAACAGUAUUUUCCAAAAUUGAUUUGAGGUCGGGCUAUCAUCAGUUGAAGGUGAAGGCAAAUGACAUUCCAAAGACAGCAUUUAGAACUCGCUAUGGUCAUUAUGAGUUUACGGUAAUGCCCUUUGGAUUAACAAAUGCCCCUGCAGUAUUUAUGGAUUUAAUGAAUAGGGUAUUCCACCAGUAUUUAGAUCAAUUUGUCAUUGUCUUCAUUGAUGACAUUUUGGUGUAUUCAAGGAAUAAGGACCAACAUGAAGAACAACUUAAAAUAGUGUUGGAGACACUACGAAGGGAGAAGUUGUAUGCCAAAUUCAAGAAAUGUGAAUUUUGGCUUGAUCGUAUAGUUUUUCUUGGUCAUGUGGUUACAGCACAAGGAAUUGAAGUGGACCCUAGUAAAGUUGAAGCAGUAACAAACUGGUCCCGACCAACAAAUGUAGGCGAAGUUCGUAGUUUCUUGGGACUAGUCGGUUAUUAUCGGAGAUUCAUUGAGGGAUUCUCCAAAAUAGCCGGGCCAAUGACCCAAUUAACAAGAAAGGGUGUAAAAUUUCAGUGGACUGAGAAAUGUGAGGAGAGCUUCCAAGAACUGAAACAGAAACUGGUUACAGCUCCAGUUUUAGCUAUACCAGAGGGUUCAGAUGGAUUCGUUAUAUAUAGUGAUGCAUCCAAACAAGGUUUGGGAUGUGUACUGAUGUAGUUUGGGAAGGUAAUCGCAUAUGCCUCUAGACAAUUAAAGCAACAUGAGCAAAACUACCCUACACAUGAUAUAGAGUUGGCAGCGGUAGUACACGCUCUAAAGAUAUGGUGUCACUACCUUUACGGGGGAAAGUGUGAAAUCUAUACAGAUCAUAAGAGUUUGAAAUACUUUUUCACUCAAAAGGAGUUGAAUAUGAGACAGAGAAGGUGGCUAGAGUUAGUUAAGGAUUAUGAUUGCACUAUUUAUUAUCAUCCAGGUAAAGCUAAUAUAGUCGCAGAUGCCCUUAGUAGGAAGACAGUAGGACAACUAGCAACUUUACCCACAGAUCAAGUACAGUUGAUAAAGGAGUUUGAUAAAUUGAAAUUGGAAGUUGUCAUUCCACCAACUCAAGUUACUGCAAAAAUUUCAGCAUUUAAGAUACAACCUACCCUUCGGGAACCAAUCAAGGAUGCUCAAAACAAUGAUCCAUUCUUGAGAAAAAUCAAGACGGAAGUUGGUACGACUAAGAGAAAAGGUUUUGUAAUAGCGGAUGACAAUGCUUUGAUGUUCGAGGGAAGAUUAUGUGUACCAAGGGAUGAAGGGAUAAGAAAAGAAAUAUUAGAGGAAGCUCACUAUGCCCCGUAUGCUGCACAUCCCGGUGGUACUAAAAUGUAUCGAGACCUCCGCGAUACCUUUUGGUGGCGGAAUAUGAAAAGGGGGAUUGGUCUCUUUGUUAAAAAGUGUAUUGUAUGUCAGCAAGUUAAAGCGGAACAUCAAAGGCCAUCAGGACCAUUAAAUCCAUUAGAAAUUCCAGAGUGGAAAUGGGAACAAAUAGCCAUGGAUUUUGUAGUAGGUUUUCCGAAGUCAAUGAAAGGACACGACGCCAUCUGGGUAAUUGUAGACAGGUUGACAAAGUCUGCUCAUUUCCUUCCAAUAAGAAUGAACUAUAGUAUGGAUCAAUUUGCUCAAUUAUAUGUUAAGGAAAUUGUUAGGCUGCAUGGAAUUCCAACAUCCAUUGUCUCAGACCGAGACCCAAGAUUUACUUCUAAAUUUUGGAAGAGCAUGCAGGGAGCUAUGGGGACAAAGUUAAAUUUCAGCACUGCCUACCAUCCUCAAUCUGAUGGACAGUCUGAAAGGAAUAUUCAAAUCUUAGAAGACAUGCUCCGAGCAUGUGUCUUGGAUUUGGGAGGUAGUUGGGAGUCAUAUCUAUCAUUAGUGGAGUUUGCAUACAAUAAUACCUUCCAAACUACUAUUGGCAUGGCUCCUUAUGAAGCUCUCUAUGGUAGAAGAUGUAGGUCCCCAGUUCAUUGGGAUGAAGUCGGAGAAAAACGAAUUUUGGGUCCAGAGAUUAUUGCAAGGACAGUGCAAGUAAUUGAUAAAAUUAGGGACAGAAUAAAGUCUGCUCAAGAUAGACAGAAGAGCUAUGCAGAUCAGCGGAGAAAAUCGAUAGAAUUUGAAGUCGGUGAAAAAGUGUUUCUAAAAGUGGCACCCAUAAAAGGAGUUCUUAGAUUUGGCAAGAAAGGAAAGUUGAGACCUCGAUUCAUAGGUCCUUUUGAAAUUCUAGAUAGAAUUGGGAAUGUAGCGUACCGUCUAGCAUUGCCACCUAGACUAUCAGCUGUACAUAAUGUAUUCCACGUGUCGAUGCUUAUAAAGUAUGUGCAUGAUCCCGAACAUGUGAUAAGCUAUGACUCAUUGGAAGUACAGAAAGAUCUAACAUAUGAAGAGACUCCUUUGGAGAUUGUCGAAAGCAAAACACAUGCAUUAAGGAAUAAAGAAAUUGCUUUAGUUAAAGUUCGAUGGAAACACCAUAGAGUCGAAGAAGCUACUUGGGAAAAAGAAGAAGAAAUAAAAGCCAAGUAUCCAGAGUUAUUCGGCUAAAUAAGGUAAUUUCGAGGACGAAAUUAUUUUAAGGGGGUAAGGAUGUAACACUCCGAAUUUUAAAUUUUUCCACNNNNNNNNNNNNNNNNNNNNNNNNNNNNNNNNNNNNNNNNNNNNNNNNNNNNNNNNNNNNNNNNNNNNNNNNNNNNNNNNNNNNNNNNNNNNNNNNNNNNNNNNNNNNNNNNNNNNNNNNNNNNNNNNNNNNNNNNNNNNNNNNNNNNNNNNNNNNNNNNNNNNNNNNNNNNNNNNNNNNNNNNNNNNNNNNNNNNNNNNNNNNNNNNNNNNNNNNNNNNNNNNNNNNNNNNNNNNNNNNNNNNNNNNNNNNNNNNNNNNNNNNNNNNNNNNNNNNNAAACCUAAUUAACAUCAAAUUACGUUAGAAUCUCUAUAGUCACAUGUUCUGCGUAUAAAAGUGGAUAUGAGAGCACUGAAGUGACAAAUUCUCCUUUACUCAUACAGAUUAUUAGUAUUUCACACGUCUACACACACUCAUACUUUUGAGAAGGAAUAUCAUUUUAUUUCAUAAAUCAUUUUCAGAAAUUCUUUGGUGUCAAUUGAGGUAAGAAUACAUGGUGCAAGUGAUAAAUUCUUAUUCCUUGAUAUAUAUGUAAAUUUUGGCAUGAGAUACUUUAAGGCCUUCGGGUCGAAUGCUAUGUUAAAUCCUUCGGGAUAGACCAUUAGGUCAAAGAGAAGAAGUUAAAUCCUUCGGGAUAGACCGUCAGGUCAAAGAAAAGAAAUUAAAUCCUACGGGAUAUGGGGAUUCUUAAGAAAUUCCUGAGAAAUGUUGGUAUGUUAUGCUAUUUUUUAUAUUUAUAUCAUGUGAAAAAGGAUGUGCACAUAUUCUUACUGAGUGUUUUCAAAAUACUCACUCUUACAAUAUUUUCAGAUAAGAACGGGUCGAGAGGACGUGUGGAAGAUUGACGGAGCGAUGCUAAUGCGGUCGUCAAGUAAAAUUUCUAGAAAAGACAAUAGUCAAUUUAUAUAAAGAAUAUCUUUGUGUUAAUAUUUAUGCACGAUAUUUAUUAUGUUGUUUAAUAAUUUGAAAUCAAAUAUUUUCGAUAUAUUUCCGCCUAAAUUAGAUAGAGAAAAGUUUUGGUAGCACCUUGAGCUCAUUUUUAUUUAAAAAAUAACAAUAAUAAUGAAAAAGAGUUCGAGGCGUUACAGCUUUCACAUCUAUAACACUUUCAUAUCAUUGUUCAAGAGAUCCAAGGUGCAAUUCAUUAGUGAAUCUAUCAUAUUCAUUCUUGUGAUCCGACAACCAAGUUUUGGAAAAGCAUUACAUCUUCAUAAUCUAAAAUACCUGACUUCCUUAAUUCAUUGGGGAAGAGACUCUCUUAUUGGGAGAUUGAUAGAGGUGGAUUGAAGCACAGUUACAAGUACAAGAACAGGCAGUUCUUGGUGUUCCACUUGGAGAGACAUUCAGCAUAAACUAGAAGGCCUUAGGAAAUAGCAUAUUGAGCUGCAAGAGGUAGAUCAUAAAGUCUAGUAGGAGGCUAGAGGCAUCUACAAUAGCAGGAGGCUAUAAGAGAUAGAUCAAGAGGUCUAGCAGGCUAGAGGUAUCUAUGGCAGUAGAUCGUGAGACAGUGAUAGCGGGUCUUAGUUGAUACAAGAGUUGGAAUUACUGUGUAUUCCUUGAACUAGCUUGAUCCUAUAGUUUUUCCCAUGUUGGGUUUCUCCGUCUUCAAAUUUUAUGUUCUUUACUUUCCAGUAAUUUAUUACAAACUGUGGCAUUCAAACAUAAGGCUUAUUAAAUUGUAUGCUUAAUCAUUUAGAAACUAAUUAAAAGUGACGUGUCUGCUUUAAUUAGUCAAUUCCAUACGUAAGGUCAAACUAAUCGGUAAUCUAGAACAUAAACUUGGUAAUACUAAAAUUUGAAUCGGUGAUCACAGCGUCCCGCAAACUUUCAAGCGUAAUCACAGCGUUCUAGGCGAGACUUUUUACACAUGGUUAUGUUAGAGAUAAAGAAACUAAAAUAAGAUAAAAUUAGAAACUAACUUAAAACAAUAUCACUAAUCUUGAAAGUCCAAUGUAAGCAAAUAUACACAAAAUGUUACAGAAUAAGGCCUUGAAAAACCAUCGAAGCACUAAUAUGACAAUAGUUAUUUGUUAGUACCAGUAGGUUGCCAAAAUUAUAGAUUGCUUGUGAUAUCAUAUCUAGUGCUGUUACCCUCAACAUUUGAAUACUCAUCAAAUUCCUUGCCAUUUAGGGAUUCCAAUUCUUCUUCAAUAGGUCCAGUUACGAAUAUGUUUGCUUGAAAGAUUAUCAUAGACAUGGAAACAAAGAUGGACAAUAUUGCUUUCAUGGUCAAUCGCUUUUCAGAGAGUUAUCAAAAAUAUCCAUAGCUCCCUAAUGAUUGUCAAGGUAUAAUCUUCAAAGGCAUGUAUAAUACUUUUUCAUCUAAUCAUCUAGAUGAUUAUGAUUUGUUAUUAGAAAAAAAUAAUUUCUUUCAUGAUUUUCUAGCCAAGCUACAAGUGUUUGAUGACGAUGAGCAUCCCUUUUUUAUAUGAUUUCCAAUUUGUUUUUGUAGAAAUUGUUGAAUUCCAAGAUCCAUAACUAUAAUCAUAACCAUUAUCAGGUUUGUAACACUUGGAAUUUGUGGGUGGAAUGUCUUUUGCAAUAACUUGAAAAACAAAAACUUCUUGAUUCCAAGACAAGUUACUAUGUUGUCUUCCUUAAGACAAAAUUUAUCCCUAAACAAAGAUGAAUCCACUUGGGAAACCUAAUAUAUCCUCCAAGUUAUAAUGGAAUAUCUUGAAAUUUUAUUGGCGUCUAUGCAGUUAAAGACAACAUCUGGAGCACAAGAACUUGAUAAACAAAUACAGGAGAGUUUAUAUUUUGUUUCUAUUACACAAUAUAAACUUUGAAUUUUAUAUACAAAAUAAAGUCCAAGGCAUGCAAAUAUAGAAGAUGGAAGAGAGAAACAAAAACGAUAUUUUAUCACUUUUCACAUCAAAGAAAACUUGAAUCUAUAUAUAGAUUCUUGUUUUCCAUAAAGUUUAAAACAUUGAUAAGUUUCUAUUUAAAUUUGAAAAAAUUUGAAUCAGGCAUAGUUUCUCAACCAGACAGAUUGAUGGUGUGGAUGUGCUGCCAUGCUUUGUAAAUUUGGCUAGUUCGUAUCCCAUUUGAUCCAUUCACCAAUUCAAGGCUCUUGACAUUAUUUUAAUCUUUCAUUUAAUAUCCAAGAGAAGAAAUUAUUUUGGAAAUAUGUCUAAAUGAAUAGACAUGUUAUUUCAAACACCUACACGUUAUUGGGCGCAGAAGCUCCAAUAAUACACAUUGAUUCCAAACCGAAUUUUAAAGAACGAGAUUAGAUGACAAUAUUGAAGUAAACAAGAUCACACCAUGAAAUAAGGUUUAAAUUGUAAAGAGGAACAAAAAAUUAACGCAGAAGAACAAUGUUUAUUAAAUCAACAAUAUGGAGAAUACAAAGCAAUCUAGCAAUUGGCUUCCAUCUGUUACACCUAAUAAAACUGACAGAGGAGCCUUGUAUUUAUAGGCCAACCCUAGAAGAGUCCUAAAAGACAAGAAAAUAUAUUACAAUUAGGAGACCCAAUUUCAACAGGAUUUGUUUCCUCUUGUUGAAUGCAAUUAGAUUCCCUUUCCAAGUAAAAGUCUAAUAUGCAUAUUCAAAAGACUCCUAACCAAUUUCUAGGAUUCUAGUUGAUCAAAUUCUAAAUCAACAAUAAUCCUAACACAUUCAAGUCAUCAAACCUAACAAUAUAGACCUUGACUCAAAUUCCAGUGAUAUAAACAAAACUCCUAAAUUUCAUAUCUAUCUGCAUCAAAAUUAACUGGCAGAAUCUCCUCAACACAGUAACCACUCCAUAUAAAUCAAACACUCGUCAUCUGUCCGACAUCCACAACUACACUCGAGCCCAAACCUAAAUUCCUCCAAGGAAUUAAUAUUGAUCACACAGGGUCGAAGCACACCCUGUAACAAUAACCAAAUCGGACGCUUGACCAGAAGGCCCCUUACUGGAACUUUCACCUUCAACAUCUUCAUAAGCAUCCCAGACAUUGCUGACACCGCGUUACCUUUGCUCGAUGAGUCCUACCCCAACACCUGAACACAGUGUAUCUGCUGAAAUUGGUGACAAAGCGGGAUCACCAACGCUCUCCCUAAAAGUGUUCUUAACCAACUCAAAGCCCAACCCAAGAGAUACUUUACCAAACUGAACUUCCACCACGGUACUAAACUUGUCCAAAUGUCUCCUAACAGGAUCUGUACUCCUCUACAAAAUGUACAAUUAGGAUAUCCUCUGUCCCUCCAUAACAAUUUAGACUCCCUUUCGAACCUUCAAGACUCCACCUCCUCCAAAGAAUUUAUACCCAUUUGCAUCCAGGUACUUAGCGAAAUGAGAUUCCUUUUCAGAUCAGGAACAUGUCAAAUUUGAUCAAUUAUUCUAAAUGUUCCAUCCGCUGCCUCAAUCUGACUCGACCGAUCUUAGCAACAUGGCAAGAUUGGUUGUUUCCCAUUACAACUCCACCUUACAAAACAUCCUCAAUGUCUUAAAUAAAUUCCUAUCAUAACACCUAUGGUGCGAACAUCCUGAAUCAAGAAUCCACUCCUCGUCAGGCCUAAAUUUCACGUCAGAUACAACGGUCAACAUCACAUCUUCGCUAGCUGAACAAUUCACAACUACAUUGGUUUCGUCUGAUUCAAGGGUUGCGUUCCACGAUUUACAAUUAGCCUGUAACAUAUCGCAAUCCUUUCAAAUAUGUCCCUUUCUUUUGCAGUAGUAACAGGUCACAUUGCUAAAUCAGACUCUCGAUCUGCCUCUUCGUCAACCACUUUGAGAUACAAGAGCUUUUUCAUCCCUUGAUGUAGCUCCGACCAAAUACUUCAUCUUCUCCUUUUAGUGCAUAGUAUCAUAGACAUUUUCUAUAGUCAAAGUAUUUCGACUAUACAAGAUAGUAUCCUGAAACGAUGCAUAAGACCCAGGCAAUGAACAUAAUAGGAUCAAGGCAAUAUCCUCUUCAUCAUACUUAACCUCCAACGUCUUUAGAUCUGCAACUAUUUCUUUGAACACGGCACCAUAGUCUUCCAACGACUCUCCUUUCACCUACGAUGUGAAUACAGCUUCUGCUUAAGAGCUAGUUUACUUGUAAGACUCUUAGUCAUACACAAAUGCUCCAACAUUAACCACAAUGCAACUGUUAUUUUCUCCUUCAAGACAUCCUGUAGAAUGUUGUCGGACAGAUGAAGAUGAAUCAAUGACGUAGCCUUUCGAUCCUUCCGUUGUCUCUCCAGCUGGCAUCCUCUCAAAACCCAAAAAUGCAUCUUCCAAAUCCAACUGUACUAGAACGGCUUUCAUCUUUACCUGCCACAACGAGAACCUUGUAUUGUGAUCUAAUUAUGGAAUAUCAUACUUCAACCCAACCAUCCCAAAAGAAUCUUAACCAAUCCACAUAAAAUCAACAACCUAGCUCUAAUACCACUUGUUGGGCACGGAAGCUCCAAUAACACAUAUUGAUUCCAAACCGAAUUUCAAAGAACGAGAUUAUAUGACAAUAUUGAAGUAAAUAAGAUCACACCACGAAACAAGGUUUAAAUUGUAAAGAAGAAUAAAAGGAUAAACGCAGAGGAACGAUGUUUAUUGAAUCAACAAUAUAGAGAAUAUAAAGCAAUCUAGCAAUUGGCUUCUAUCUGUUGCGCCUAAUAAAACUAACAGAAGAGCAUUGUAUUUAUAGGCCAACCCUAGAAGAGCCCUAAAAGACAAGAAAAUAUAUUACAAUUAGGAAACCCAAUUUCAACAAGAUUUUGUUUCCUUUUGUUGGAUGCAAUUAGAAUCCUUUUCCACGUAAAAGUCUAACAAGCAUCUUCAAAAGACUCCUAACCAAUUUCUAGAAUUCCACUUGAUCAAAUUCUAAAUCAACAAUAAUCCUAACACAUUUGAGUCACCAAACCUAACACACGUUCCAUUCCCAGUUGCCCGAUCAACCACCAUAGGAAGCUUAUCUACAUUCCUCAUGCCGGAAAGAAUGCUCAGAUAAAAUGUGAAUUCACAUUACUCAAAAAGAAAAACAUAGAUGCAAAUUUCAACUAUUGAAUUCCCACACAUUUAUGAGAUUUUCAUAGCUUUUUAAUGUCACGUUCACUCUCCGUACCUCUUCCUUGGAUAGUCCUCUGGCAACAGCCUUAACUAGAAAACAAACCGCCAUCCAAAUCUUUCUCGUUGUCACGCAUGAUAGUGCACCAUCUGGUAAUUCCAGUUCAUCCUUUGCCCAUGUAUAAAAGCACAAGUAUGGUUGAUUCUGAAUAGUGUACACCCAAAAUUCUUGAUAAACACAAACAUUAUUUUUCUCUUCUAGAAAGUAAUAAAAUCUUUCUUUAUCAAUUAAAUAUUAAUUUACAUUUUCUAUCGUAUAUUUUUGUCUUAAUAUUAAACUAUCUGAAACAUUGAGGUUUAGGUUUCUGCACUUUCUUAAGCUAUCUCUUUUUUACUUUCUAGUUUUAUUACACAUAAGAGCAUCAUUUUUAUUUAAAGCAAUCAUUUGAACUAUGGAAUGGGGACAAGCACUGAGGCAGAAAUUUGAAAACUAAGCAGAUUAAAAUUGUGUCUUACAAGGGGAUGUAGGAACUAUGGAUUUAGUUGGACUCCAAGAUAACAAUACUGCUGGUUACGCCAAACCACAGGAGACCAUGGUUUAUUCAAUACGAUUAGGAAGAAAUUAGAAGAAUUUUUAGCACAAUAUCGACCAUGUUUGGAUGCUUUCUUAUUUUACAUAUAAGGUGAGAGAAAAAGUAUUGGAAACUAUCAAUUGGUUACAAACAUUGUUCAAAGAAGAAUAAGGUUGAAAAGUUUCCAGUUGUGGAAAUCAACUCUAAAAUAAAAAUAAAACGGUUUUUCGCCUAUUCUAAGAAAACCCAUGCCAAAUGAAAGCUAUAUAAGAAUUUCAAAAAUAGUAAUGUUUAUACUAGAAACUAAUUAACAAAGAAUACUGUCAAUAAAAUGAGACUUAUCAGAUCAUAACCAUAUAAGAAGUCGUAUACCAAUAUAACAAUAAUAUCGCUAAUCUUGCAAGUUCAGUAUAACCUCAAUCCACAUCCUUAUUUUUUAGAUUAAGAACCUAACAAAAGAUAAAAUCAUAAAUUAACUCGACAACAGUAAUGCUACAUUGCUAGUUCUAUAUAACCUCACUCCACAUCGAUUCUAAUGCUACAGAUCAUCUCCCACCUCCCAUAGGUAAAACAAUAUGAUCUCCGAUGCUAUCAUAUCCAAUAGUUGUGCUACUACUACCAACACUAUUUGCAAUUGCAAAGGCUUUCAUUUUCCUAGAAAGCAGGGAUUCAGACUCUUCUUCAUUAGGUUCUGUUUGGUUCCAUGAGUGUUUUCCUGCUAAUCUCAGACCUUCAAGUUCCUUAGCUACUUCAUUCAUACUAGGUCUAUCCUCCCCUUUAACAUGUAAGCACAAUUUCGCAAGCAUAGCAACUGAUGUUAACU
rnacentral:lncRNA from 1 species